ACGGCUUCCCGGCGUUCCCGGAAAUACAACUACGCCAACGAGAAAACUGCGGCCAUUUUGUUUUUGUUUUGGCUAACCGAAAACUAAAUGUGAAAUGUCACGAAAUAAGUGAAUAAUAAUAAUAGUGAACAGAAAUAGAUGGGUGACGCCGGCAUUAUGCUGUUUCAAAGUGGAACAUGUUACAAUAAUUGUAACAUUAUUGUUCUCUAUAACAGAUGAAACUACAUAAUAUAAUCAAACCAUUGAAUUUAUAUUUGACCACACAUAAUUAUAUCCACAACUAAUGAAUCUUGGAUUUGAUAGGGCUGGUCAGAGAACGUUUGGAGAAUUUGAAAGAAGGAAAUCUAUUAAGAUUUGUGAAAAAAAAAAGAAAAAUCCUGACUGUAGAACUUACAUGUUCAAUAAGAAUAAAACUAUGAGAAAUCAAAUAUGUACACAAAUGACCCAUGGUCACAACAAUCCAAUGAAGAAUGCCUAAUACAGCUCUUCAUACUUAAAAAUACAAAUCUGGGAUUCCCCUAACACCAUGUAAAUGUAUUCUCAACUACUAAGGAAUACUAAAACCGCUGCAAUAUCAAAUUUCACUGUCUGAAUACAAAUAGAUGGUUAUUAAGGAAUGCAGACAUGGAGUUCGGUUUGCUGGUUAUUACAAAAGCUUUUCUGCUGAAGAAGCAUCUGCAGAUGUCUUCUUUAUAGAUUCAUAGAAAUAAUAUGCUGGUAUAUCGGGUCGGCACUGAAUUGGAUGUAGAAUAUAAGGCAGGAUAGCAGGAUUAAAACAGAAAUAACUGAUUUUUAAGAAAAAGAGAUAACAAAUAUUGUGACAAAUGUUGAUCUAAUGCAUAAAUGGAGUAAUGUACUGUCUUAUUAAUAUUAAAUGUUGUUUGUGA
rnacentral:misc_RNA from 1 species